rnacentral:rRNA from 1 species
UACGAAGGGGCUAGCGUUGUUCGGAUUUACUGGGCGUAAAGCGCACGUAGGCGGAUCGUUAAGUCGGGGUGAAAUCCUGGAGCUCAACUCCAGAACUGCCUUCGAUACUGGCGAUCUUGAGUCCGGAAGAGGUGAGUGGAACUCCUAGUGUAGAGGUGGAAUUCGUAGAUAUUAGGAAGAACACCAGUCGGCGAAGGCGGCUCACUGUCCGGUACUGACGCUGAGUGCGAAGCGUGAGCAACAGGA